CAAGUCGAACGAUGAUCCAGAGCUUGCUCUGGGGAUUAGUGGCGAACGGGUGAGUAACACGUGAGUAACCUGCCCUUGACUCUGGGAUAAGCGUUGGAAACGACGUCUAAUACCGGAUACGACCAGCCCCGGCAUCGGGUGUUGGUGGAAAGAAUUUUGGUCAAGGAUGGACUCGCGGCCUAUCAGGUAGUUGGUGAGGUAAUGGCUCACCAAGCCUACGACGGGUAGCCGGCCUGAGAGGGUGACCGGCCACACUGGGACUGAGACACGGCCCAGACUCCUACGGGAGGCAGCAGUGGGGAAUAUUGCACAAUGGGCGAAAGCCUGAUGCAGCAACGCCGCGUGAGGGACGACGGCCUUCGGGUUGUAAACCUCUUUUAGCAGGGAAGAAGCGAAAGUGACGGUACCUGCAGAAAAAGCACCGGCUAACUACGUGCCAGCAGCCGCGGUAAUACGUAGGGUGCAAGCGUUGUCCGGAAUUAUUGGGCGUAAAGAGCUCGUAGGCGGUUUGUCGCGUCUGCUGUGAAAACCCGAGGCUCAACCUCGGGCCUGCAGUGGGUACGGGCAGACUAGAGUGCGGUAGGGGAGAUUGGAAUUCCUGGUGUAGCGGUGGAAUGCGCAGAUAUCAGGAGGAACACCGAUGGCGAAGGCAGAUCUCUGGGCCGUAACUGACGCUGAGGAGCGAAAGGGUGGGGAGCAAACAGGCUU
rnacentral:rRNA from 1 species